AUGAGUUCCCUGCUGCAGGAGACAGUGGCUGUGCGAUUGGAUGAGCAGACGGCAGCACAGAAGCACCCACUUGUAACUACCUGGCUGCGGGCGUUUCUGCUGUUCUUGGGCCUGCUGCAGCUUGUCUUCCUCACCCUGUUUGUGCUGCAGAAGGACAUCCUUCACUGGGUCCUGCCUGGAGAGCUGGCGACUGCCCUUGGCAUCCGUCCACCUAAGCCCGCUCUUUUCUGACCCCACAACACACUGCGGCCCUUCAUCGGGACACCAUUGGGUCUGCACAAGCAUGAGGGGUCUGUCACCAUUGUC
ensembl:lncRNA